GAGAGUUAAACAGUACGUGAAAUUGUUGAAAGGGAAACGAUUGAAGCCAGUCGUACCUUCGGGUAAUCAGCCUUUCGGGUGCGAUUCUGUGGAGUUUGAGGAGCUUUAACACCUUCAUGCUUUGCAUAUUCGUGCUCUUGGGUGUACUUGCCCGUGUGGUUGGUUAACAUCAAUUUCGGGCACCAUAAAAUGGCUGGAGGAAUGUAGCUUCGAUCUUGUAUUGAAGUGUUAUAGCCUUCGGUAGAUGUGGUGAUCGAGAUUGAGGAUUGCAACGGAUACCUUUCGGGGCUACCUGUCUGAUCUCUGAUCGUUGCUUUGGUGCUGAAAGCGUGCUUAUAGUUAUCAAAGUCGAUGGUUAAUAGGUUAGAAUGGGUUAAAUUCGUUAAGGAUGUUGGCAUAAUGGCUUUAAACGA
rnacentral:rRNA from 1 species